AGGGGAGCCUGAAAUGGGGACUUGUAACUCUGCUAUUACACACAUCAUGACAACAGUUAACAGCCUUUUGUCUCUGAGGCAUUAAGACUACAAACUGAGCUGCGUUAAUGGCUAAUUAGUAUUUUCAGCAUCUUCCCAGUGCACAAGUCAAGUAAAAGGUAUCUCUACUGAUGAAUCUAAAAAAUGUGAGAAUCUCUGAUACUUGACGAUGACCUUCAGUGAUAUUACAGGGAUUUAUGCAAGUGUUAUUCAGAGACAUCAAAUAUCUAUUGCGGAUGGUUGCCCAAUAACUGCAAGGUCUUGAAAGACCAUUGAAAUCAACAGGAGAUUUAAAGUCUCAUGGAAUUUCUGACAAUCUGUGUACUACCGUUUCCACUGAUCUUUUGUAUCAAAUGUAAGACAUUCACAGCAGUUUAAGAGGUGGCACUUUGGAGCUAUACAUGUUCAUUAUCUUAGAAUGUUUGUUUUCCCCACUCCAGUGUCUUUCUUAUGAGGAUCUGAACUCUUUAGGUACUAUUUUGUAUUCCAAGAACUCUAAUUCUCUUUUAAUUCCUCAGUGGUCAUAUCCUCAACUAUGCUUACAUUUAGCUUUUUUCUUUCCAAUGUCAUUUCAUCAGUGAAUAAAGUUUGGUUGAUGCUGGCA